rnacentral:pre_miRNA from 1 species
UUGUGCAUUUUGUUGAACAAGCCGGAACCUUUGACUCAACCUUAUGAAGUAUUCAAUUUAGUUGAGCAAAGUUUCAGGUGUGUCCAAUGAAACGUCCAC